rfam:Pan troglodytes isolate Yerkes chimp pedigree #C0471 (Clint) chromosome 10, whole genome shotgun sequence.
GCUGGGUGUGGUGGUGCACACCUGUAAUCCCAGCUACUUGGGAGGCUGAGGUGGAAGGAUCACUUGAGCCCAGGAGGUUGAGGCUGCAGUGAGCUAUGAUUGCACCACUGCACUCCAGCCUGGGCAAAGAGUGAGACCUCAU